rnacentral:lncRNA from 1 species
AGGCAGAACACAAACAGAAAUAGAAGCAGAGGACAAAACGAAAGGGAUAAAAACGAAAGAGAAAAUACAAAGGAAAAAAGGGAGAGGAGAACUCAUAAAUCAUCAGAAACGAAGCAACAGUUGAGUCAAUCUUGACAGGAUACAAUCAAAGUUGCGAAAUUUGUGGUUAAAAGGUAAGCUUGUAUCUUGAUUUAGGGUUUGGGUUUAGUGUAAUUUGGGAAUUUGGGGAUUAGAGUCCAAGUUCAAUCACCAAGCUUGUACCAGUUUGUUUGGGAAUUUGGGGAAUUUGGGAAUUUUUGCGUGUCUAGGGUUUGGGAAGAAGUACCGAUCUUCUGUGUUUGCUUUCUAAUUUGUUCUUCUCAUUGUUGAAGAGUUAAAAAUAACACUUGUUCUUAUGUUCAAGUUUUGUUCCCCAGAAGUAACACUGCAUUUGCCCAACUGUUAAAGAAAGGAGAACUCAAAAUUGUGGAUUAACCAUUUGUUACUGCC